UGCACUAUUUGCUGCACAGUUUUCAUAACUACAUAUUGGAAAACCAAUCAAAAUUUGAUAAAAUUUAGUUGAAGAAUUGAACGUCCACCGAUAUUUCGCUAUGAAAUUUGGGAAUAAAAUAGAAUCUUUUAACUUGUUCAUAGUUCUAAAUUCCAAAAGCAUUGUUACAGCGUUAGGGUUUUUCUGCCCACCAUAUAUUUCUUACUCAGCGCCAAAUCGAUCAAGCAACAAUUUACCGGCGAUCGGAAUGGCUAGUCCGGUUGUGCAAUACAAUGACGAAACAUGUGGAACUUUUUUAGUCGAAGGAACCAGGGAAGGUGAAAAUGUAUGUUUGCGGCGUUGUACCAUAUGGGCCAUGCCCGGCCCGUGCCUAUGUCGUCUGCAACAUUCUCUACAGGUAUCUGAAAGUCCGCAAUUUCACUGAUAUUGUUGAUAAUGUAGUUUAAUUCGUUGGACUAAAGAGAGUGGGGAAAAUGAUGAAUGAUGAUCCGGUCUAUUGAGUCGGAAAUUUCUACGAGACAUGGAUGAUCUCACCGGCUCUUCGCCGUGUGGAACAGAUUAUUGAUUGCUAGUAUAAUGACUAAUUGCUGUGGGUACGCGAUUGACAGAGAUGUUAAUUCUCGUUGAUAGUUUUCCGGAGUAUGGUGGUUGAUUAUCUGCUGGACGGGAAUUAGAAAGAAAAGCCAAAUCCUGCUGAUUUUGCCUUGGGUAAGGCUGCAAAGAAUGAUGUACCAAGUUGGAAGAAUGGAUUGGCAUAUUGAGUGCGGUGCAAUGAGCACACACUAUCUAACACAUUCCUUUGAUGUACAUUGUGGUGGGAUUGACGUGAUUUUUCCUCACCAUAAGGAGAUGAUUUUUCACUGUACAGGAAGAUACUCGAUUGUACCAUCCCCUUGGAUUGAGGGUCCUUGUCAUCAUCAACAAUACUAAAUGGGGUGGCUGCAUCUGUUGUUAGCGAUAAGGCCAUGUGUUGGAAACAAACCUUGCUGAUGAUUUGCGCACGUCUACAAUUUUAAAAGAUGCGCUUAAGCUUAUUAAUAAUUAUGUGAUAAGCCCACAAGAGUAUGCUUUGUCCUAAACUAAGAUUGAAAAAGAAGUGAAGGCAGUGCUGGAUGUCCUUGGAUUGCUUGUCUCAUGCUUGCGGCUUUGCAGCAGUUGAAAGAGGUCUGUUAUGUUUUCAAUCCACACUUUUAAGUUUGUGAUCUGUGUUCUGUGAAACUCUUUAAACAUUAUGAGGACAAAUUAAGUUAUUGUUUUAUUAAGAUCCUGCCGCUGGAAAGAAAUCUAGACAAGAGUUACACUGGAAAAACAGAAAAAUAUGCAUAAAUAUUAUUAACAGAUGAGGCACUAGUGGAGUAAGAGCUACUGCCAACAUGGAGUGGUAAUUUUUUGAACCCUCACUAGGAUAUCCGAUGGAAUAAUGUGACACAUAGGGGGUGAUCCUGGUAAUAUAUUGAGCGCUCAAAAAGUUACAUGAGAUGGACUCCAUUCAGAGGUAUCCAAAUGACAAAUUGCAAUUGCUUCCACUCUAUCACCAUCUUCACCCUGAAUGAAGCCUUUGAAUACCUUGUUCUUGAUAAUUGUGUAAUGAUAGUUGAAAAUCGCAUAAGUAUAAGUCAUUGUACAACAUUCCACAAUAUUAGGAGCUUCAACUUUUUGCGGAGCAUCCAAAAUAGUAUACCUUUUUGGAGGGGAGUUGAGCUUGAAACAUGAGUUGUGGACAUAGCUUUGAUUUGGGUAUUUCCUCGAAUGAUUUCUUGCUUAAAAUCAAGUAUUGCCUGUGAGGAUGUGGCACAGUGCAGCUUUGUGUCUCCCUUUAUAGGUGGAGCUUCACAUUCUCUCAAUGGCAUCUUCGAUGGCUUUAACUUGUAGAGACCAUUGAAGUCAAGUAUUGAAGCUUGUCAAAAUUCUUAUCUGAGCUCUUUUAUGAUUAUUCUUGCUUUGUUAUAGCUGUUCUGCCUCUUAAGAGAAGGUUAUCUGGUAAAUUAUGUUUUAUAGCUCAUUGCUUCUGGAUUUGAAUCCAAAAAUCCACAUGUAACUUAAUGUUGGACUCAUUGCAAUGCAUGACUGUUAUUUCUUCAAUUGAAUGCUACUAUUUGUGUGUUGGUCGUUCACAAUUAUCAUUAGCAAUAGAUCUAUUACAUCUUGUAAAUUUAGUUUGAAUUGGAAUCGAAAUAUGAAACAAGCGAUAUUCAUGAUGGUGUCUCGACAUAGUCAUGUCUAUUAGUGCAAUGCUUUCUUCUUGCAUUUAGUGAUAAGUUCUUUAAAUAAGACUACGAAUCAACUGUGGAAGUUCCAUUGCCAGAAAAUCUUAUUAUUUUAUUUGGGUCUCACCACAGGAAAGGAAGCUAAAUAAGAGGGGUACACUGAAACAACACAGAAAAGAUACAUGAAAAUAUAACUAGUAAACAUACAUGCAUCAGCAGGUAAUAAUAAAACAGUAGCGAACAAAA